rnacentral:rRNA from 1 species
UACAGAGGUCUCAAGCGUUGUUCGGAUUCAUUGGGCGUAAAGGGUGCGUAGGCGGCGCGGUAAGUCGGGUGUGAAAUCUCGGAGCUUAACUCCGAAACUGCAUUCGAUACUGCCGUGCUUGGGGGACUGGAGAGGAGACUGGAAUUUACGGUGUAGCGGUGAAAUGCGUAGAUAUCGUAAGGAAGACCGAGUGGCGAAGGCGGGUCGUCUGGGCCGAUACUGACGCUGAGGAGCGAAAGCGUGGGGAGCGAACAGG